rnacentral:lncRNA from 1 species
UCUGAGAUAUAUGAGGAAAAGAGAAAAUCCAGUGAACUCACUAUCGUGUGUUUCAUCUGAUCCCGAGGUUUCCUGCUGGUCUGCCUCCUUCUCUUCUCCUUUCAGAGACUCUGUAUGUUUGUUUUAUAAAUAAUAUAUAGGAUGUUUUUGUUGUACUUAGAAGGAAGAUUAAGAAAAAAGUAUGUCCACUCCAUCUUCCUGGAACUGGAAGUUUCUUUUUUCUUUUAAGGCUAACAGCUGUAACCCAUUACACUAAAUCCUUCCUCUGACUAUCCCAAUCUCUCAUAAAUUUGAUGCCAGAGGAACAGAAACAUGGAGUUCGCCCAUCCCUGUUCAGCUGGAGAUGAACUCACAUCAGGGAGCAGUUUGUGUUGCAGCCAGAGAAACUGCAGCACGAAUAAAAAGCACAAAGAGCACAGGCUAUUGAGGCAGAAACCCCUGGUUUCCUGUGUUAGCCUAUCCCUUGUUCUGUCUAUUAAUCUUAUUAGUCUCUAUCAGAGUCAGUGAUUUGGAGCUUAAAUUUUUAUUUAAGCUUUGCCCACAGAUUGAGGUAAGUAAUUCAAAGAUAAUAGAUGGCUAAUAUUUUUAUUUUAUGUUAGAAAAUAAUUAAGAAAUUUAAAGUACAUUUUACUUUUACAGGCAUUGAAGAAAAAUUUAGGCCUUUUUAUUUAAGUCAAUUAGAAGAAAGUGUAGAAGAGGACGUGAAGAGUUUAAAGGUAGGCAAUAUAGCAGAUGCUCAAAAUAUUAACAUAGCAAAAUAUAUACUGUCAAUCAUGAAAACCAAAACAAAGUGAUUUGUUAUUGAGAUUUGAGGUAAGCUAGCUUGGUAAACAUAUAAAACAAAAUGAGCAAUUGUCUGCACAUAUCAUCCUGUUGGCAUACUGGACCCAUUUCUCCUUCAAAACUCAUGAAAUGAGAGAAAACAUAUAUAGCAAUAUGAAAACAAAAGCACAAUG